AACGCUAGCUACAGGCUUAACACAUGCAAGUCGAGGGGCAGCAUGGUCUUAGCUUGCUAAGGCCGAUGGCGACCGGCGCGCGGGUGAGUAACGCGUAUCCAACCUGCCUUACACUCUUGGACAGCCUUCUGAAAGGGAGAUUAAUACAAGAUGUUAUCAUGAGUAAGCAUUUUCGCAUGAUUAAAGGUUUACCGGUGUAAGAUGGGGAUGCGUUCCAUUAGAUAGUAGGCGGGGUAACGGCCCACCUAGUCUUCGAUGGAUAGGGGUUCUGAGAGGAAGGUCCCCCACAUUGGAACUGAGACACGGUCCAAACUCCUACGGGAGGCAGCAGUGAGGAAUAUUGGUCAAUGGACGAGAGUCUGAACCAGCCAAGUAGCGUGAAGGAUGAAGGUUCUAUGGAUUGUAAACUUCUUUUAUACGGGAAUAAACGGAUCCACGUGUGGAUUUUUGCAUGUACCGUAUGAAUAAGGAUCGGCUAACUCCGUGCCAGCAGCCGCGGUAAUACGGAGGAUCCGAGCGUUAUCCGGAUUUAUUGGGUUUAAAGGGAGCGUAGAUGGGUUGUUAAGUCAGUUGUGAAAGUUUGCGGCUCAACCGUAAAAUUGCAAUUGAUACUGGCAGUCUUGAGUACAGUUG
rnacentral:rRNA from 1 species